GACGAACGCUGGCGGCGUGCUUAACACAUGCAAGUCGAGCGGUAAGGCCCCUUUGGGGGUACUCGAGCGGCGAACGGGUGAGUAACACGUGGGUGACCUGCCCUCAGCUCUGGGAUAACCCUGGGAAACUGGGUCUAAUACCGGAUAUGACUUCUUCCUGCAUGGGGUUUGUUGGAAAGCUUGUUCGGCUUGGGAUGGGCGCGCGGCCUAUCAGCUUGUUGGUGGGGUGAUGGCAUACCAAGGCGUGGACGGGUAGCCGGCCUGAGAGGGCGACCGGCCAGGAUGGGAAUAAGGCACAGACCAGAAUGCGACGGAGGAGAGGAGAGGAGAAUAUUAUGGGAGGAGGGGAAGCGUGGCACAGCGGCGCGGGGGAGGAGGGGACGGGGGUCGGAAACUGAACCUAUUAGGGCCCAGGCGAAUGGGGACGGUAGGGGUAGAAGAAGCACCGGCCAACUACGUG
rnacentral:rRNA from 1 species